AUUUAGCAGUGUUCCCUGUGCUGUAUGGACUCAUCACAAUCAGAGCACUCCUUUAAGAAUCCUGACCUUGGAAUCAGACGGUGAGUCGUCCUAUGAGACUUCGCACCUGACUGGGGCCGCUGAGGAGCAUGUCACUGCACGGGGAGGAGGUGUAGCUACCACAUGGCGGGACAGUGUGGAGAGAACGCCCUGGGGGUAUCCCCAGCUUCAUUUACCCCAGAGGCCUACCACAUCUUCCUAUAGACAGUCUUCAAAGUUUCUAGUUCACGGAUGUCACUUCACUCUUAACGAAUGGGGUUUCUGUUCUUUGAACGGACCAAGCUCAGACCACUCUAGACGUUUGAACUACUUCCUCUGUGGGGAAUAUUCUAAGCUUUU